GGAGGCGAGAAGGUGCCUGGUGGCCCUCCCGGUCUUCAAAACCGAUGGUCCCGAGCACCUCGGGACGGCGGGUUCGAUUCCCGUUCGCCUCCGCCA
rnacentral:tRNA from 1 species